CCUACGGGAGGCAGCAGUGAGGAAUAUUGGUCAAUGGACGAGAGUCUGAACCAGCCAAGUAGCGUGAAGGAUGACUGCCCUAUGGGUUGUAAACUUCUUUUAUAUGGGAAUAAAAUGUUCCACGUGUGGGAUUUUGUAUGUACCAUAUGAAUAAGGAUCGGCUAACUCGGGGCCAGCAGCCGCGGUAAUACGGAGGAUCCGGGCGUUAUCCGGAUUUAUUGGGUUUAAAGGGAGCGUAGGUGGAUUGUUAAGUCAGUUGUGAAAGUUUGCGGCUCAACCGUAAAAUUGCAGUUGAAACUGGCAGUCUUGAGUACAGUAGAGGUGGGCGGAAUUCGUGGUGUAGCGGUGAAAUGCUUAGAUAUCACGAAGAACUCCGAUUGCGAAGGCAGUUCACUGGACUGCAACUGACACUGAGGCUCGAAAGUGUGGGUAUCAAACAGGAUUAGAUACCCGGGUAGUC
rnacentral:rRNA from 1 species